UUCUGCUACUUCUGCGAUUUCUGUGACUUCUGCUACUUCUGCGAUUUCUGUGAUUCCUGCGAUUUCUGCGACUUACCACCGUAUGAGAAAGUUACAUCUGUCAACACAGAAAAUUGCAUCUCAACAAACCUGUCUUUGGCAAGUACCUGAACUACAUUUCAGUCACUCAGUAAAGUGAUAACUCAAAAUAUCAUUGUCAACAGAUCUGAAGAAAUUGCCACUGCGUCUUUAGACCGUUUUCGUCAGACGAGAGACACAGUUCUGACUCUGAUUACUGGUUGCUGUACGUAUCUAUCCACAUCAAGGCUGUUUUUGAGAGAGACUCGUGAAGAUUCAAGACAGUUCUUAGAGGAUUUGCAGUUUAAAAGUGAAAUAAUUGUGAAAUAAGUGUGUGAAUGAUUAAACUGUGUUUUAUUGAAGUUGUUGUGCGAUUUUAAAGGAAUAAUAAAUGUCAA